rnacentral:rRNA from 1 species
CAGUAGCCACGGUAAGACAGAGGUCCCGAGCGUUGUUCGGAUUCAUUGGGCGUAAAGGGUGUGUAGGAGGCCAGGUAAGUCAGGUGUGAAAUCUCAGAGCUUAACUCUGAAACUGCGCUUGAUACUGCUUGGCUAGAGGAUCGGAGGGGGUAACGGAAUUUAUGGUGUAGCAGUGAAAUGCGUAGAUAUCAUAAGGAACACCGGUGGCGAAGGCGGUUACCUGGAAGAUUCCUGACUCUGAAACACGAAGGCCAGGGGAGCAAACGGGAUUAGAUACCCCCGUAGUCCCUGUCUCUUAUAC